UUUUGAUUCGUAAGACAAUUUCAAGAGAGAUACAGAAAUACAGAAAUGGCAAAAGCUUCGGUACUGUUUCCUUGUUUGAUAGUUUUAUUUCUCAUAACAUUAGGAACAGAUUGUGCUGAUACAAAGUGCCAGAAUUUUAAAGAAUGUAGUCAUAUACAGUGCAUAUACCCUGGCUGCGCAAGGGCAUGCGUCGCUGGGCGCUGCCUUUGCAGUUGCCGUGAAACACCUGGGGAAAAUGUUUUACCAUGAAUUCAUGAUAACAAAAGAAUAAAGUUUAGGUUUCAAGGUUCUAAUAAAUUAAGAUGAAAAUAUACCAUUCCUUUGCUGUGGAAUUUGUGUCAUGAAACUGUUGAAUGAUAGCUUCUUUGUUUUUCCAUAAACAAUAUUUGUUUAUCUUCA